AUUGUUUUCGCGCCUUAGUUGCUUUCGUCUGAAUGAAACUUUACCUAGAAGCUUUUGGAGCUCAUACAGUGAGUCUUUGUUCUGCAAGAAACUGCUGCUGCCACUUAAAGAGAUCGCAGAUAAUGUCCCAGAUUUGAAAUCAGUACUCAAACGCACAUUAACUUUCUUGCUUUCUUCCUUUUUAAAGCUCUGCCUCUGCCUCCGACUUGCGGAGGGAUCACGCAGCCGUCGGGGGCAGAUAAAAGCCCUUUGGACGAGGGUCACCUCAGUCCUUGUUGUUCACUUGAGAGCAGUGGAGAGGAAAACGGUCCUCACCGGCGGACUUUGGCUUCUGGAGCCGCAGGGCCGGUCUGUCCCGGCCUCUCCGCGCCUCCGCCGGAUAGGGGGCGGGGAGGAGCACCAGUGGGAAGGGAGGGAAGGAGCCAGAAGAGAGGAUUUGGGGAUGGGGGCUGGAAGCGCUAACGAGACCUGCCGGGAGGAUUUGCGUCUCCUGCAGAUGGCACUCUCCGCCUCAACCUGGACCCUAACUCUGACUUGUUUUUUGAAACGGAAGUUUUGCUGAGAGCAUUCACUGAAAUCUCUGUACUUACGGGUAUGAGAAAGUAGCAAUGGUGUGCAUGUCUGCUGAGAACUCUGCAUCGUUGCAUUACUCUUGAGGUCACAUCCUGGCUUCUUCAAAGGUCACUGCUUCUACUUCAGUGUGUUCACAGCCUGUAUAGAGAUCCUGCGAAUUUCUGGCAGGGGAUGGAGGGUGGCAGCAAACAUGGAGUAAACAAGACUUUCCAGAGUGUCAGCAGGCAUCAACAAUGUGGCAAGUGCUGUGUAUGUAUAUUAAUUGGACAUCACCAAUCAGUUCAUUCUCAAAGAAAAUGGCUUUCUGUUUAAGAUGUGGUUACAGAGUGUUCAUCACUUCAUGCAGUAUCACUGCUCUAACGUCAGUGCACACAAUGCUCUAUGUCAUUCCUAUAGAGUGAUACAGCUCAACUUUGUCAGCACCAAACUUGAUGUUAUUCCACACUCCCUCCCAAAAAAAUAGAAUUGACUCAAAUGUUCCACUAAAUUAGCUCUAGAGAGACAAUGAAUGCAUCGAGGCAAAUAAAUACAAAGAAGUAUGAAUCA
rnacentral:lncRNA from 13 species